rnacentral:rRNA from 1 species
CCUACGGGAGGCAGCAGUGAGGAAUAUUGGUCAAUGGACGCAAGUCUGAACCAGCCAUGCCGCGUGCAGGAAGACGGCUCUAUGAGUUGUAAACUGCUUUUGUACGAGGGUAAACGCAGAUACGCGUAUCUGUCUGAAAGUAUCGUACGAAUAAGGAUCGGCUAACUCCGUGCCAGCAGCCGCGGUAAUCCGGAGGGUUCAAGCGUUAUCCGGAUUUAUUGGGUUGAAAGGGUGCGUAGGCGGGCGGAAAAGUUGGGGGGUAAAUCCCGAGGCUCAACUUCGGAAUUGCCUCUGAUACUGUUGAGCUAGAGAGUGGUUGCGGUAAGGGGAAUGUAUGGUGUAGCGGUGAAAUGCUUAGAGAUCAUACAGAACACCGAUUGCGAAAGCAGCUUACCAAGCCGCAUCUGACGUUGAGGAACGAAAGCGAGGGGAGCAAACGGGAUUAGAUACCCCUGUAGUC